UACGUAGGGUGCGAGCGUUGUCCGGAAUUAUUGGGCGUAAAGAGCUCGUAGGCGGUCUGUCGCGUCGGCUGUGAAAACCUGAGGCUCAACCUCAGGCCUGCAGUCGAUACGGGCGGACUCGAGUUCGGCAGGGGAGACUGGAAUUCCUGGUGUAGCGGUGAAAUGCGCAGAUAUCAGGAGGAACACCGGUGGCGAAGGCGGGUCUCUGGGCCGAUACUGACGUGAGGAGCGAAAGCGUGGGGAGCGAACAGG
rnacentral:rRNA from 1 species